rnacentral:rRNA from 1 species
GAUGAACGCUAGCGGGAGGCUUAACACAUGCAAGUCGAGGGGCAGCAUUUACUUCGGUAAGAUGGCGACCGGCGAACGGGUGCGUAACGCGUAUGCAACCUUCCUUAUAACAAAAGGAUAGCCCAUGGAAACGUGGAUUAAUACUUUAUAGUACUAUAAAACUGCAUAGUUUAAUAGUUAAAACUUCGGUGGUAUAAGAUGGGCAUGCGUAGGAUUGGGUAGUUGGUGAGGUAAGAGCUCACCAAGCCGACGAUCCUUAGGGGUUCUGAGAGGAUUAUCCCCCACACUGGUACUGAGACACGGACCAG